AGUAAAUUAGAUUAUAAAGCAUUGAAUUCCGAUGAGAUAUAUGAGGCCCCUUGUAGAAAUGUUAUCGGAUGUUUAAUGUACGUAAUGCUGUGUACCAGACCUGAUCUGAGCACAGCUGUAAAUAUAUUAAGUAGAUAUUUAACUAAAAACAACAGAGAACUAUGGCAAUGUUUAAAGCGGGUGAUCAAUUAGCAGACGUAUUAACGAAACCGCUACCAGCCAUAAGAUUUCUGCAGCUCAGAGAUGGGAUGGGCUUAAAAUAAAACUAUUAUAAAAAUAUUUAAUAAUAAUAAAAAAAAAAAAUUUCUUAGAUUUAAAUAUAUAUAUAUAACCUAGUACUAUUAAUGGUCUAAUCAGGUUUUCCUGGGUUUCCCUGAUUCUUUGCAACAAAUGUUGGGCCAUAUGUAGUUCCCAGGGAAGGCGAAAGAAGGAUAGUCUUUAUUGUUGUUUAAAUACAGCCGAUUCAUUUUUGAGGAGGCGUGUUGGAAUAAUGUUAUAAUGUGUAUACAAAAACGAAUCUCUAUGUUGAGGGACACUGACCAUCAGACAAAGGCCUAGUUCUGUCAUCAGAGUCGAUAGGUUUCGAGCCGUACCAGACCUAAGGGUCUGGGGCAAUAAACACAUUGAAGGCCCGGGGCCGUUAUUUUUCUUUCUGAAAGUGGCCGCUAGUUUUCUGCGUGCAUUUUCAGGAGGUUUCAUUCCUUGCUCGUUCACAGAACAGUAAAGACGUCCUUCUAAGUUUUUAUAAUAAAUAUAGUGAGUAAAAUAGAAUUACUGAGUUUUUUAUUAAAUUAAACCCAUAACUCCAAUAAUAACUGUACCUCAAUUUAAAAAAAUUAAUUUAAUUUUUAUAUUUCUUAGAAAAAUAAUGUAGAAAAAAGUUCAUCUAACCAAUGGCUCUUUAAUUGUCUGUACAAUUUUCAAACAAUUUGUUAUCUUCAAUACCUUAUAUUUUGUAAAAAAAAUACACACUUCAAGAAGAUACCUUGCAUAAUAGUGGCGGUUCGUAAAAAUUAGUAGUGUUGAUACUGUAGCAGUAAAGAAAAGUGCAAUAUAAAUUGAAAAACAUUAUUACCAUUAAUAAAAAUAAAGGUCAAAGUAACCCUGUGUCCAUCUAUCGUAUCCGUCUUUGAUGGGUCAAUUUGAAUUUGCAAAAUUUUGGACAUAUGAAAGAAAG